rnacentral:rRNA from 1 species
AUUGAACGCUGGCGGCAUGCUUUACACAUGCAAGUCGAGCGGCAGCGCGGGGGCAACCCUGGCGGCGAGCGGCGAACGGGUGAGUAAUGCAUCGGAACGUAUCCUCGAGUGGGGGAUAACCCAGCGAAAGUUGGGCUAAUACCGCAUGAGCUCUGAGGAGGAAAGCGGGGGACCUGCGAGGGCCUCGCGCUGGAGGAGCGGCCGAUGUCCGAUUAGCUAGUUGGUGGGGUAAAGGCUUACCAAGGCGACGAUCGGUAGCUGGUCUGAGAGGAUGAUCAUCCACACUGGGACUGAGACACGGCCCAGACUCCUACGGGAGGCAGCAGUGGGGAAUUUUGGACAAUGGGGGCAACCCUGAUCCAGCAAUGCCGCGUGAGUGAAGAAGGCCUUCGGGUUGUAAAGCUCUUUCGGACGGAAAGAAAUGGGCGGGACUAAUACUCCUGUCUGAUGACGGUACCGUAAGAAGAAGCACCGGCUAACUACGUG